rnacentral:rRNA from 1 species
UCUUGAACGCAUAUUGCGGCCAUGGGUUAGCCUGUGGCCACGCCUGUCCGAGGGUCGGCUUAUAAACUAUCACGACGCCCAAAAAGUCGUGGCUUGGGUUUUGCCAGCUGGCGUGAUCUCCUCUAUGAGUAAUCAUGUGAGGUGCCAGAUCUAUGGCGUUUCCCUAAUGUAUCCGGAUGCACCCUUGUCUUGGCAGAAAGCCGUGGUGAGGUGCAGUGGCGGAAUCGUGGUUUAAUAAUCGGGUUGGUACUCAGUUGUCAGUGUGUUCGGCGAUCCCCUAGUCGGCACACUCAUGAUUUCUGGGAUAAUUCCAUACCAGGCACGUUCCGUUACUGUUACUUUGUCAUUGGUUUGAUGCUGAACUUGGUCAUGUGUCUGAUGCUAUUUCAUAUAACGACGGUACCCUUCGUGGUCUGUCUUCCUGACCUCGGUUCAGACGUGAUUACCCGCUGAACUUAAGCAUAUCACUAAGCGGAGGA